GACGAACGCUGGCGGCGUGCUUAACACAUGCAAGUCGAACGAAGUGGCGAACGGGUGAGUAACGCGUAAUCAACCUGCCCUUCAGAGGGGGACAACAGUUGGAAACGACUGCUAAUACCGCAUACGGAAGGAGGGGAUUGCGUCUGAUUAGCUAGUUGGAGGGGUAACGGCCCAGCAACGCGAGGAUCAGUAGCCGGUCUGGGAGGAAUGACGGCCACAUUGGGAAUGAGACACGGCCCAGACUGUUACGGGAGGCAGCAGGGGGGAAACUUCCGCAAUGGAGGAAAGUCUGACGGAGCAACGCCGCGUGAGUGGUGACGGGCUUCGGGUGGUAAAGCUCUGUUAAUCGGGACGCGGUACCGGAAUAGAAAGCCACGGCUAACUACGUGCCAGCAGCCGCGGUAAUAC
rnacentral:rRNA from 1 species